GAAGCCAGAAUUGACGAAGAGAUGUGUAACUAAGAAGAAAAAAAGGAAGAAGGGAGAGAGUAACAAAGAAUGGUCGCCAAGCAAAGAAAUUAGCAAUGAACGAAUCCUCCGGCCAAGACGUAUUCGUAAGAUGCACCUGCAAGUUGUGCCAAGGUCCCCUCCAAAUGGCAGCAUGGCAGAGAGCCAAAAUGAUAAAGUGGAAGGUGACGAAGAAUUUCAAGGAUUUGAUUCUGAAGAAUUAAAAGGUCAGCAUUUCUUAAAACAUCCUUCUGUAAUGCUUAGACAAUGUCCCAAAAACACAAGUUAUAAAAAAUUAAUGCAAUGCUGUGCUACAAAUGAA